rnacentral:rRNA from 1 species
CCUACGGGUGGCUGCAGUGGGGAAUAUUGCACAAUGGGGGAAACCCUGAUGCAGCGACGCAGCGUGAGUGAAGAAGUAACUCGUUAUGUAAAGCUCUAUCUGCAGGGAAGUAAAUGACGGUACCUGAGUAAGUAGCUCCGGCUAACUACGUGACAGCAGCCGCGGUAAUACGGAGGCGGCCAGCGUUAUCCGGAUUUACUGGGCGUAAAGGGAGCGUAGACGGCAGUGCAAGUCUGGAGUGAAAGGCGGGGGCUCAACCCCCGGACUGCUGUGGAAACUGUACGGCUGGAGUGCAGGAGAGGUAAGUGGAAUUCGUAGUGUAGCGGUGAAAUGCGUAGAUAUUAGGAGGAACACCAGUGGCGAAGGCAGCUUACUGGACUGUAACUGACGCUGAGGCUCGAAAGCGUGGGGAGCAAACAGGAUUAGAUACCCGGGUAGUC